rnacentral:rRNA from 1 species
GGAGGGUGCAAGCGGUUAAUCGGGAAUUACUGGGGCGUAAAGGGCGCGUAGGUGGUCUGUUAAGUCAGAUGUGAAAUGUCUGGGGCUUAACCUGGAAUGGUCAUUUGAAACUGGCAGACUGGAGUACGGUAGAGGGAAGAGGAAUUUCCGGUGUAGCGGUGAAAUGCGUAGAUAUCGGAAGGAACAUCAGUGGCGAAGGCGUCUUCCUGGACUGAUACUGACACUGAGGCGCGAAAGCGUGGGGAGCAAACAGGAUUAGAUACCCUGGUAGUCCACGCCGUAAACGAUGAGAACUAGCUGCUGGGAGCGACAGCUUUUGGUGGCGCAGCUAACGUAUUAAGUUCUCCGCCUGGGGAGUACGGCCGCAAGGCUA